rnacentral:rRNA from 1 species
UACGAGUGGUCCUAGCGUUAGUCGGAAUCACUGGGCUUAAAGGGUGCGUAGGCGGGUUCGUAAGUGUUCUGUGAAAUCCCAUGGCUCAACCAUGGAAUCGCAGGGCAUACUGCGAGUCUUGAGGAAUCUAGAGGCCGGCAGAACAAUAGGUGGAGCGGUGGAAUGCGUAGAUAUCUAUUGGAAUGCCAAAGGUGAAGACAGCCGGCUGGGGAUUUCCUGACGCUGAGGCACGAAAGCGUGGGGAUCAAACAGG